rnacentral:rRNA from 1 species
CUUAAUUGGGCGUUAAGUUGCAGGGUAUAGACCCGAAACCCGGUGAUCUAGCCAUGGGCAGGUUGAAGGUUGGGUAACACUAACUGGAGGACCGAACCGACUAAUGUUGAAAAAUUAGCGGAUGACCUGUGGCUGGGGGUGAAAGGCCAAUCAAACCGGGAGAUAGCUGGUUCUCCCCGAAAGCUAUUUAGGUAGCGCCUCGUGAAUUCAUCUCCGGGGGUAGAGCACUGUUUCGGCUAGGGGGCCAUCCCGGCUUACCAACCCGAUGCAAACUGCGAAUACCGGAGAAUGUUAUCACGGGAGACACACGGCGGGUGCUAACGUCCGUCGUGAAGAGGGAAACAACCCAGACCGCCAGCUAAGGUCCCAAAGUCAUGGUUAAGUGGGAAACGAUGUGGGAAGGCCCAGACAGCCAGGAUGUUGGCUUAGAAGCAGCCAUCAUUUAAAGAAAGCGUAAUAGCUCACUGGUCGAGUCGGCCUGCGCGGAAGAUGUAACGGGGCUAAACCAUGCACCGAAGCUGCGGCAGCGACACUGUGUGU